rnacentral:rRNA from 1 species
GACGGGGGAUGCAAGUGUUAUCCGGAAUCACUGGGCGUAAAGCGUCUGUAGGUGGUCAAAUAAGUCAACUGUUAAAUCUUGAGGCUCAACCUCAAAAUCGCAGUCGAAACUAUUAGACUAGAGUAUAGUAAGGGUAAAGGGAAUUUCCAGUGGAGCGGUGAAAAUGCGUAGAUAUUGGAAAAAGAACACCGAUGGCGAAGGCACUUUACUGGGCUAUUACUAACACUCAGAGACGAAAAGCUAGGGUAGCAAAUGGGG